rfam:Sporanaerobacter acetigenes DSM 13106 genome assembly, contig: EJ96DRAFT_scaffold00022.22
AUAUUCCUUCAGGGCGGGGUGAAAUUCCCCACCGGUGGUAAAGCCCACGAGCCUAAUAGGCAGAUUCGGUGAGAUUCCGAAGCCGACAGUAUAGUCUGGAUGAAAGAAGGUAUUG